AGAGUUUGAUCCUGGCUCAGAACGAACGCUGGCGGCAUGGCUAAGACAUGCAAGUCGAGCGCGAACGUUUCCUUCGGGAAGCAAGUAGAGCGGCGGAAGGGCGAGUAAUGCAUGGGCAACGUACCUCUGGCACAGGGAUAGCUCACCGAAAGGUGGGGCAAUACCUGAUGACACCGAUGUGACGUAAGUCGUAUCGGUCAAGGGGGGGGAUCCUUCGGGACCUUCCGGCCAGAGAGCGGCCCAUGUCCUAUCAGCUUGUUGGUGAGGUAACGGCUCACCAAGGCUACGACGGGUACCGGGACUGAGAGGUUGGUCCGGCGCAUUGGGACUGAGACACUGCCCAGACUCCUACGGGAGGCUGCAGUAACGAAUAUUCCGCAAUGGACGCAAGUCUGACGGAGCAAUGCCGCGUGUGGGACGAAGCACUUCGGUGUGUAAACCACUGUCAGGGGCUACCAAGCAAUGGAGGUCAAUACCCUCCUGCGUUGAGGCGCCCCAGAGGAAGCCACGGCUAACUUCGUGCCAGCAGCCGCGGUAAUACGAAGGUGGCUAGCGUUGUUCGGAAUUACUGGGCUUAAAGCGCAUGUAGGCGGCUGUGUAAGCGUCGGGUGAAAUCCCUCGGCUCAACCGAGGAACGGCUCGGCGAACUGCACGGCUUGAGGCAGGUAGGGGGUGUGUGGAACUCUUGGUGGAGCGGUGAAAUGCGUAGAUAUCAAGAGGAACGCCGGAGGCGAAAGCGGCACACUGGGCCUGUCCUGACGCUGAGAUGCGAAGGCUAGGGUAGCGAACGGGAUUAGAUACCCCGGUAGUCCUAGCAGUAAACGAUGCCUACUAGGUCGGAGGUUCUCUGACGGAGUUUCGGCCGAAACUAAAGCGUUAAGUAGGCCGCCUGGGGAGUACGGUCGCAAGGCUAAAACUCAAAGGAAUUGACGGGAGCUCACACAAGCGGUGGAGCAUGUUGCUUAAUUCGAUGCAACGCGAAGAACCUUAUCCUGGGCUUGACAUGCUUGGAUGCCCAUCUGGAAACAGAGUAGGCUGCCCUUCGGGGUGAAACUUGCACAGGUGCUGCAUGGCUGUCGUCAGCUCGUGUUGUGAGAUGUUGGGUUAAGUCCCGUAACGAGCGAAACCCUUGUCGUUAGUUGCCAGCGCGUUAUGGCGGGGACUCUAGCGGGACUGCCGGUGUUAAACCGGAGGAAGGUGGGGAUGACGUCAAGUCCUCAUGGCCUUUAUGCCCAGGGCUGCAAACGUGCUACAAUGGCUGGUACAAACCGACGCGAGACCGCGAGGUGGAGCAAAUCGGAAAAAGCCAGCCCCAGUUCGGAUUGGAGUCUGCAACUCGACUCCAUGAAGUUGGAAUCGCUAGUAAUCGCAGAUCAUCAAUGCUGCGGUGAAUGUGUUCCUGAGCUUUGUACACACCGCCCGUCAAGUCAUGGAAGCUGGGAGCGCCCGAAGUCGGCUCGUUUCAGAGCUGCCGAAGGUGAGUUCGGUGACUGGGACUAAGUCGUAACAAGGUAACC
rnacentral:rRNA from 1 species